rnacentral:ncRNA from 1 species
UAUGAAAUAUUGAAAGUUAAUUUGUACAAAAGCCUGCGGCAGAUGGUGACGUGAUUUUUGCCCAGUGCUUUGAAUGUCAAACUGAAGAAAUUCGCUGAAGCCCAGGUAAAUUGAUGGGUGUAAUUAUGAUUUUCUUAAGACAGCCAAAUGCUUCACCAUCUAAUUAGGGAUGCGCAUGAAUGGAUGAAUGAUA